ensembl:misc_RNA Metazoa_SRP Metazoan signal recognition particle RNA
GCCAGGCAUGGUGGCAAGUGCCUGUAGUCCCAACUACUCGGGAGGCUGAGGUGGGAGGAUCGCUUGAGCCCAGGAGCUCUGGGCUGUAGUGCACUAUGCCGAUCAGGUGUAUACUAAGUUCAGCAUCAAUAUGGUGACCUCCAGGGAGCGGGGGACUACCAGGUCGCCUAAGGAGGGGCCCAGGUUGGAAACGGAGCAGGUCAAAACUCCCAUGCUGAUCAGUAGUGGGAUCAUGCCUGUAAAUAGCCACUGUACUCCGGCCUGGGCAACACAGUGAGACUCCAUCUCUG